AGUGGGUUAGUCCGCACGAGCGCAACCCUCACUUUUAGUUGCCAUCAUUUAGUUGGGCACUCUGAAAGAACUGCCAGUGAUAAGCUGGAGGAAGGUGGGGAUGACGUCAAGUCCUCAUGGCCCUUAUGUGUUGGGCUACACACGUGCUACAAUGGUAUCUACAACAGGAAGCAAGAUGGCAACAUUUAGCAAAUCCUAAAAAGAUAUCUCAGUUCGGAUUGCACUCUGCAACUCGAGUGCAUGAAGCUGGAAUUACUAGUAAUCGUGGAUCAGCGUGCCACGGUGAAUACGUUCCCGGGUCUUGUACACACCGCCCGUCACACCAUGGGAGUUGGUUCUACCUUAAGGCAAAGUUUAAAACCUUUGACCACGGUAUAGUCAGCGACUGGGGUGAAGUCGUAACAAGGUAGCCGUAGGGGAGCCUGCGGCUGGAUUACCUCCUUUCU
rnacentral:rRNA from 1 species